CAUUAUAAAGCAGAACCUGUAAAAGGUGGGAGACUGGAAUACCUAAGAAGAGACAAAAGACAAUGAAUGUAUGAGAGUCCUGCCAAAGGUGCUAUAGUGGGGGCAAGCCUACUAA